rnacentral:lncRNA from 1 species
GACGGGGGGCGGGGCGCGCGGGGUAGCCUGGGCCAAGGGCGCGCGGGCGCGGGGAGCGGGGGCGGGGCAGGCGCGGACCCUCCCUCCCCAGGACCCGCCAGACGCCCGGGGCCCCCAACGGCCAGCACGGUCCGAAUCGACCCCAAGCUUGACCCGAGGGCAGCGGGGCCUCCGGGAAUGCCUGGCCAGGGCGGUGUCGCCGGGAGUGAAUGGGGGAGGGGGCGGCCGGGGCAGGACCCGGGUCAGGGCCACUCUGGUAGUCUCCUGCCCACCCCUCCCCAAGCCGAGCUCCCGGCCUCCCUCCCUCUCCCCCGUCCAGGGCUGAGGACUGGGGAAGCUGAGUCCCGGGACGGGUAUGGGGGGGUUGGGGCUUGGGAUGCAGCCGGACCUCCGGGAACAGCAGGGGGCCCUGGAGCCACCAGGAGGGAGAAGGCCCCGUCCCUGAGCCAGGCUCGCAGGAUGUUUAUCCCAGGAAAUCCAGAGGAUCAGAACCAGGCAGGACCCGGCACUGGGACGGAGGCAGCUGUCUGCGGGGCGUUUACCGUAGAUACGUAUCACCUGUUCUGAGACAGAGCCUGGGAGGCUGUUUUUAAUCAUCCGGGAGGUUGUAAAAUGUUUCCCGACGUUACGAGGACAGCUGCUGGAAUAAUGAUGCAGGUAGCUGGCACACACGCAGUGCAAAGGUUUCACCAGACAUGGUCUUCUAUGCCUAUCACCUGGUCAAUACGAGCAGCAGCCACGUUAAGGUGUAAUACACACUGGCGUCAUCUAACGUUCCAUGUGAGGAAACUGAGGCACACAAAGGGCAACUGGCUUGCUCAAGGUCGCGUGAAUGGCAAAGCGUGGAUCUGGGAUUCAAGCCCAGACAAUUGGGCUCCAGAAUUGACUUUAUUAGUCAUGAUCACUCCAGAGAAAACAUCAAGCACUUUUCAUUACAUGUUUAAUGAAAAUGAUGUUAAAGUGGUUUUGUAGGAGAAAACAUUUCAUUCAUGUAAAUACAUUUUACUGCAUUCUAAAAUCUAGCAGGAAAAGAUGUGGCCUAACUACCGUCAAGAUCUGGGUACAUUUCAUUGGAAAUACAAGCACAUUGGACAUGGGAAAAUACUGGGGAACUUUACAUGGAAGAGAAUGCAUCUGAUAGUCUGGCGCACUAGCAUUUGCUGGAUUUUUAGGACAUAUGGGAGGCCGGGUGCGGUGACCUCCCCCAGCAAUCCCAGCAAUUGGGGAGGCUGAGGCCGGUGGAUUGCUCGAGCCCAGGAGUCCAAGACUAGCCCGGGCAAUAUGGUAAAACCUCAUCUCUAUGAAAAAAAAUACAAAAAAUUAGCCGGGUGUGGUGGUGCACAGCUGUAGUCUCAGCUACGUGGGAGGUUGAGGUGGGAGAAUCACCUGAGCCUGGGGAAGUCAAGGCUGCAGUGAGCCGAGAUUGCACCACUGCACUCCAGCCUGGGUAACAGAGUGAGACCCUGUCUCAACAAACAAAACACAAAAAUAUAUAUAUGCUGAAUGCUCAGUGAGCUGUAACAUGUGAGGCAGCCCCCAGGGGUGCCGAGAUGAACCGCUAAGAAGGCGUAUGUUCCCACGGGGUGCAGAGAUGAACCCCUGUCUGAGAAGGCGCAUGUACCCAUGGGGGUGCAGAGAUGAACCCCUGUCUGAGAAGACGCAUGUACCCACGGGGGUGCAGAGAUGAACCUCUGGGAAGGCGCAUGUACCCACAGGGUGCAGAGAUGAACCCCUGUCUGAGAAGGUGCAUGUACCCACGGGGUGCAGAGAUGAACCCGUCUGAGAAGGCACAUGUACCCACGGGGUGCAGAGAUGAACCCCUGAGAAGGCGCAUGUACCCACGGGGUGCAGAGAUGAACCCAACUGAGAAGGAGCAUGUACCCACGGGGUGCAGAGAUGAACCUGUCUGAGAAGGCGCACACACCCACAGCUGCCCCUCAUCUUAGCACCACAGUGCCAGCCCCACCCUGUCUUUGAUAAGCCCUGGCCUUCCAGGGCCUCCCUCAGAGAACCAGCCCCUGCGGAGUCCCUGAACGUAGCUGCGGUCUGGGGUGCCGACCCUCGGCACUGGGAGAAACCCUCACCAGUAGCAUCACCCCCCAGUGAGCCAAGAUCGCACCACGGCAGCAUCACUGGGGAGGGAGUCACGUGGUUGUCACUGCAGAACUCUGGAGAGGCAGGCUCUUGCGUGGGUGGGGGCCAUGGAGGACGCAGCGUGGGAUUUAAAAUGAGCCCAGUGAAGGGAAAUGCUGGUUCUUCAAUGUCCAUGAGCUCAAGCCCUGUGGGAGGUGUAGCCUCGAUUAUUUUGCACAGAUCUGAACAGCAUUCACCCCCAGUUGGAUAUGGCCCUUUCCUCGAAGCACAGAUUGGAACUCAAGGUCACUGAAGUGCUUUCUGGCCGCAUCAUGGAGAGAAAGGCAUUUUCUCACUCAGGCAUCACCCCGGGAACGUGGCGUGCCAUGUUUUAGCAUCUAAGUGUGUCCCCCGAGGAGGCAGGGUUAUGCCGUAAUCACAAGCAAACCCCAAACCUCAACGGCAUAAACGACACAGGGUAAUUUAUCAUGGGAUUGCGUGUCCACCUGGGUCCCCGCGGAGCUCUGUUGACUGGAGUCGCUCGGAGCCCCCGGCGCGAAUGCUGGAUGGCUGGGCGGGGAGGAGCGCUCAGGGGCUUCACGCUGUCAACACCCCACUCCGAAGUGACUCCCGCUGCUUCCAGCAGUCACCUGCUGGACAGAGACCGUCACACGGGCCCCUUCACGCAGUGGGGUGGGAAGGGAGAUCCUACCGCGUACCUGGAAGACGGGAGAACAGGGGUGUUUCGAUCAGUCCUUGUAGCACGGCCGGGACUUAAGCUCUGAACCACCAGUGAGGAGGUCGUUGGUCUGAGCCUGCUUUUCCAAGUCCUAUCUUCCCUUCUUGGGUUCAGACAGCAGAUCCGACUGUAAGUGGCUUUAAAGAGACAGCAGACAUGUUUGUGGCAGUUUAUUCAUUGCCCCUGGAUGCCACCCUUGCAUGCCCCCUAUGUGACAGCUAGCGGCCCACAGCCCAUUAACCCUGCAGAUGGGCACAGCAGGCCUCAGGGAGGUGAUGUGGGUUCAGUGUGCCGAAGAUGAAGAGAUGCAGGGGACUCAAACCCACUGGCCGAGGCACCACCCGUUUCUCCAGGCAAAGAGGGUUCAUUUUUCCUGUUUCCUUCUGGCCCAUAAUGUGGAUAACUUGCCCCUUCAGCACAAGUUGGUGAACAAUUCAUCCACCAGCAUAUUCAAACCACGGCCAACCAGUGGCUGAAAACAACAGCAAGCAGCCGCCUAGCACAGGGAUCUGUCCGUGGGCUGGACGCGACAGGGAGGACUCGGCUCUGCGCCUGGGGCCCGGGACCCCGACUGGAGGUGGGGUCGGCUCUGCUCCUGGGGCCCGGGACCCCGACUGGCAGUGGGGGCUGGAGGAAGCUGUGCUCAUCGGAUGGCUUGGCACUCACGCGUCUGAGGGUUGUGGCUGGCCUUGGCAGAGGCCCGCUCCUGGCAGUGGCUGAGCUGUCGGAAUCCAGCACCCUCCCCUCCACAUGGCCUGAGCUUCCUCACAGCAUGGCUGCCAGGUUCCAAGCUCCAGCCCUGGGAGAGACGGCCAAGCGGGAGCUGCAUCAUGCUCCCACAUUUCCUGUUCUUGAUUUGCCCCCACUGGGCACUGUAGCCUUCCUGCCAACGCAGCUCUCAGGAGUACGGCUGCUGCAUGCCAAGGCAUUUCCCCACAUGGCCCUCCUGUGUGCUGUAAAUGCCUUCAGCUCCUCAAUGGAACGCACGUGUGGUGAGCACUGCUUCCUCGGUGUAAAUGCUCCCAUCAUAGCUGGUUUCAAGCCGACAGUGC